CCUACGGGAGGCAGCAGUGAGGAAUAUUGGUCAAUGGACGAGAGUCUGAACCAGCCAAGUAGCGUGAAGGAUGACUGCCCUAUGGGUUGUAAACUUCUUUUAUAAAGGAAUAAAACGAGGCACGUGUGCCUUAUGGCAUGUACUUUAUGAAUAAGGAACGGCUAACUCUGUGCCAGCAGCCGCGGUAAUACGGAGGAUCCGAGCGUUAUGAGGAUUUAGUGGGUUUAAAGGGAGCGUAGAUGGGUUGUUAAGUCAGUUGUGAAAGUUUGCGGCUUAACCGUAAAAUUGCAAUUGAUACUGGUAGUCUUGAGUACAGUUGAGGUAGGCGGAAUUCGUGGUGUAGCGGUGAAAUGCUUAGAUAUCACGAAGAACCCCGAUUGCGAAGGCAGCUUACUAAACUGUGACUGACAUUGAUGCUCGAAAGUGUGGGUAUCAAACAGGAUUAGAUACCCUGGUAGUC
rnacentral:rRNA from 1 species